rnacentral:rRNA from 1 species
UGCCAGCAGCCGCGGUAAUACGGAGGGUGCAAGCGUUAUCCGGAUUCACUGGGUUUAAAGGGUGCGUAGGCGGGUAUGUAAGUCCGUGGUGAAAUCUCCGAGCUUAACUCGGAAACUGCCAUGGGUACUGCGUAUCUUGAAUGUUGUGGAGGUGAGCGGAAUAUGUCAUAUAGCGGUGAAAUGCUUAGAUAUGACAUAGAACACCAAUUGCGAAGGCAGCUCACUACACAAAUAUUGACGCUGAGGCACGAAAGCGUGGGGAUCAAACAGGAUUAGAUACCCUGGUAGUCCACGCCCUAAACGAUGAUUACUCGACAUACGUGAUACACAAUGUGUGUCUGAGCGAAAGCAUUAAGUAAUCCACCUGGGAAGUACGACCGCAAGGUUGAAACUCAAAGGAAUUGACGGGGGCCCGCACAAG